UCCACCGAUUGACUAAGGUUUCCAGAGGAAGGCUCGUCCGCUCUGGGUUAGUCGGGUCCUAAGCUGAGGCCGACAGGCGUAGGCGAUGGAUAACAGGUUGAUAUUCCUGUACCACCUAUAAUCGUUUUAAUCGAUGGGGGGACGCAGUAGGAUAGGCGAAGCGUGCGAUUGGAUUGCACGUCUAAGCAGUAAGGCUGAGUAUUAGGCAAAUCCGGUACUCGUUAAGGCUGAGCUGUGAUGGGGAGAAGACAUUGUGUCUUCGAGUCGUUGAUUUCACACUGCCGAGAAAAGCCUCUAGAUAGAAAAUAGGUGCCCGUACCGCAAACCGACACAGGUAGUCAAGAUGAGAAUUCUAAGGUGAGCGAGCGAACUCUCGUUAAGGAACUCGGCAAAAUGACCCCGUAACUUCGGGAGAAGGGGUGCUCUUUAGGGUUAACGCCCAGAAGAGCCGCAGUGAAUAGGCCCAAGCGACUGUUUAUCAAAAACACAGGUCUCUGCUAAACCGUAAGGUGAUGUAUAGGGGCUGACGCCUGCCCGGUGCUGGAAGGUUAAGAGGAGUGGUUAGCUUCUGCGAAGCUACGAAUCGAAGCCCCAGUAAACGGCGGCCGUAACUAUAACGGUCCUAAGGUAGCGAAAUUCCUUGUCGGGUAAGUUCCGACCCGCACGAAAGGCGUAACGAUUUGGGCACUGUCUCAACGAGAGACUCGGUGAAAUCAUAGUACCUGUGAAGAUGCAGGUUACCCGCGACAGGACGGAAAGACCCCGUGGAGCUUUACUGUAGCCUGAUAUUGAAAUUCGGCACAGCUUGUACAGGAUAGGUAGGAGCCUUUGAAACGUGAGCGCUAGCUUACGUGGAGGCGCUGGUGGGAUACUACCCUAGCUGUGUUGGCUUUCUAACCCGCACCACUUAUCGUGGUGGGAGACAGUGUCAGGCGGGCAGUUUGACUGGGGCGGUCGCCUCCUAAAAGGUAACGGAGGCGCUCAAAGGUUCCCUCAGAAUGGUUGGAAAUCAUUCAUAGAGUGUAAAGGCAUAAGGGAGCUUGACUGCGAGACCUACAAGUCGAGCAGGGUCGAAAGACGGACUUAGUGAUCCGGUGGUUCCGCAUGGAAGGGCCAUCGCUCAACGGAUAAAAGCUACCCCGGGGAUAACAGGCUUAUCUCCCCCAAGAGUUCACAUCGACGGGGAGGUUUGGCACCUCGAUGUCGGCUCAUCGCAUCCUGGGGCUGUAGUCGGUCCCAAGGGUUGGGCUGUUCGCCCAUUAAAGCGGUACGCGAGCUGGGUUCAGAACGUCGUGAGACAGUUCGGUCCCUAUCCGUCGUGGGCGUAGGAAAUUUGAGAGGAGCUGUCCUUAGUACGAGAGGACCGGGAUGGACAUACCUCUGGUGUACCAGUUGUCGUGCCAACGGCAUAGCUGGGUAGCUAUGUGUGGACGGGAUAAGUGC
rnacentral:rRNA from 1 species